ensembl:lncRNA
UGAGAACAAGAAAAGGAUGUGUGCAAGCCAGCUGGAAAAUACUUCCAUAGGAAGGCGACGACUGUUUAGCAAUGAGUAUCGUUCUGACUUGGGCUGGCAUUGGCUGCUUCGGUGGCAAGGCGAUGCUUGAUCUAACACCAGCUACUGUUUUUCAGAUCAACUUUUAGUUUUAAUGAAGUGGAAUAAAUGAUUUUGAAUUAGUUAUGCUAAAAAGAAGAAAGAACAUGGAAGUCAGUUAAUUUGACAGGUCAGGCAAAAUCUCUCACAAAUUAGCAGCACAUUUAACUGUAACGAGAUGUGAUGAGUUGAAUUUCUCAGUGUAAUGGUAUCAGCUGGAAUGGGAUUACAGCAGCCCAUGCUUGGCAGGGCAGGUUGGCUAAAGCUAUGUGGUCUUAAAUUCUUCCAGAAGCAUAACAGGUUAUAAAAGCCAGGUGCAGGGAGGUGCUUUUUUCUGAAUUAAAAAUGAACUUGAUCAGUGUGGGAGAUCUUAGCGCAUCUGGGUUUGCAAUAGCUUGGAGUGGUGCCUGAGCCAGAAGUGCUUAGCAGCUUUGCCUGGGCUUUACUGUUGGAUAUCACUUGGGUGAAAUCUUCUCAGUCUCCUCCCUUAAUGAUGUUUUAAUUUCUCUGCGUUUCCCUGAAACCUGGCAGGACUGGGAGCUGACAUGGGGCAAACCUCGCUGUGCCAACCUUGGCGCUGCCAUCUACUCACCAGGGAAAUCGUUGCUUUGGAUGACUUUGCUCAACAAGUAAAGAACAGGCGGGCUGUCCUUCCUGCAAGGUAUGCACAACAUAAUCACCUGCAGUGGGAUCAGCCAGGACUGCUGCUGCCCCAGACAGGAGGGGGCUCAGUGGGUGUGCUCCUUGUGCAGAGGAUGGGCAGGGCUGUGCUGGGAGGGGAGUGCACAGUGUGGGGUGCAGCACUGCUCGGUUGCCAGUUUGCAAACCUCAUGGCACUGCAAAUUUGGUUUGUGGUUGUUUAGAUGUAGCAAACCAUUGCUGCUUUGUGGGUUUUCAUGAUAAGUUUGCUUGUUACCUGACCGUAUUUGGUGAAACUUCCUAGUUUCCAUGCAAGAGGAUAUCCAGGGAUGUUGUGCUUUAUGUUAUUAAGGCCGUCUGCCUUAAUGAGCUUCUGGGAACACCUCAUCUUGUGUGGCAUCACAGAGGUUGAAGGCAGGAGGGGCCACCCCUGCUGUGAGAGGUGGUUGGAUUCCAACUCACGUCUCUGUCACUGGGCUCUUGAUAGAUCAUAGCAGGACAUGAUGUACAUGCAGCCAACCCAGAUGGGUGGGAGAUGUGGACAAUGCAAAUGUGCUGAGUAAGAGCUGAUCACUGCAAGGACUCCUUGUUUUCAGAUAGGAUGGGACUGACACUUCUGUUCUCGUUGUGGCAUUGAUGCGUACUUUGACAAACACCUUCACUCUUCACAAGGGAGAGGCUUGAGGUCAGCUGCUCUGAGAUGUUACCUUAAUAAGUGCUUUUGGAGACUUCCUUGUGCUUUAAGGCUUCGUAAGAACCUACGCUUUUGGUAUUCUGGCCUAGAUCUUAUCAGCUACUGUAAUGCAGUGUACAGUGAAAUUAUUUGUCUGAUGGAAAUUAUGUGUGUGCUCGAGUGCUCUGUCAAGCUGGGGCCAGCGGGAGCUAGAUGGGGAUAAGCCUCCAUUUUUCAAUCACCUUUUAUGUUGUUUUUCUCAGCUUCCAAAGUGAAUCUCAGUAAGAAUCUCUUGAAUCUCCCCUGGCCAGCACAAACAUAUAUUUAUCCUGAGUUUCUGAGGCUGUUCCUGGGCUGUUCAUUUAAGAGCCUUAUACGAGGUGCUUUUCUUCACUCCAAGGGCGCAAUGAAUUCCCAAGGAGUGGAUUUUUAAUGUGAUUUACAGAUUUGUUUUCUGCAUCCUCAGUUUUUUGCAUGUCACUUGCCUCUGUAUUUAUAAACCUGUGAUUAUGUGCAUUGUGGUGCUGUGCAAUCCCUACAAUGUGCUCACAUCAACAGCACCAAACUGUCCUUUGGUAUUUGCUUUGCAAAUGUUGGUGCAGGAUAAAUGGCACUGCAUGGGAAGAGUGCUGGUGAUGCAAGCUAGUUGGCAAUCCCCCAUCAGUCUUUGAAGUUGAACUCAUGCUGAUAUCUAGGACCUCCUCAUCCAUAUCCCAUAUGGUUUCUGCUCAUGCUGCUCAGUGUCCCAUGCAGCCACUGGUGUUCCCUGCACAGCAGAUCUUGAGGGGCAGGAGCUGAGGACAGUAUCUACCCCAUGCUCAUGUGGGUGCUUGAUUUAGGAGUGCAGCACGUGUUCCACAUGCCCAAUAAAGGCAGUGUGCCCACCUAUGCCUGCGGCCA